GGGUUGUGAGGUUAAGCGAACAAGCGUACACGGUGGAUGCCCUGGCAGUCAGAGGCGAUGAAGGACGUGCUAAUCUGCGAAAAGCGCCGGUAAGGUGAUAUGAACCGUUAUAACCGGCGAUGUCCGAAUGGGGAAACCCGGUGCACUUCGGUGCAUCAUCGUUAGCUGAAUACAUAGGCUAACGAAGCGAACCGGGGGAACUGAAACAUCUAAGUACCCCGAGGAAAAGAAAUCAACCGAGAUUCCCCCAGUAGCGGCGAGCGAACGGGGAACAGCCCAGAGCCUGAAUCAGCUUGUGUGUCAGUGGAACGGUCUGGAAAGGCCGGCGAUACAGGGUGACAGCCCCGUACACGAAGGCACACAGGCUGUGAGCUCGAUGAGUAGGGCGGGACACGUGAUAUCCUGUCUGAAGAUGGGGGGACCAUCCUGCAAGCCUAAAUACUCCUGACUGACCGAUAGUGAACCAGUACCGUGAGGGAAAGGCGAAAAGAACCCCGGCGAGGGGAGUGACACAGAACAUGAAACCGUGUACGUACAAGCAGUGGGAGCCUUCGUAAGAGGGUGACUGCGUACCUUUUGUAUAAUGGGUCAGCGACUUAUAUUCUGUAGCAAGGUUAACCGUAUAGGGGAGCCGAAGGGAAACCGAGUCUUAAUUGGGCGUUAAGUUGCAGGGUAUAGACCCGAAACCCGGUGAUCUAGCCAUGGGCAGGUUGAAGGUUGGGUAACACUAACUGGAGGACCGAACCGACUAAUGUUGAAAAAUUAGCGGAUGACCUGUGGCUGGGGGUGAAAGGCCAAUCAAACCGGGAGAUAGCUGGUUCUCCCCGAAAGCUAUUUAGGUAGCGCCUCGUGAACUCAUCUCCGGGGGUAGAGCACUGUUUCGGCUAGGGGGCCAUCCCGGCUUACCAACCCGAUGCAAACUGCGAAUACCGGAGAAUGUUAUCACGGGAGACACACGGCGGGUGCUAACGUCCGUCGUGAAGAGGGAAACAACCCAGACCGCCAGCUAAGGUCCCAAAGUCAUGGUUAAGUGGGAAACGAUGUGGGAAGGCCCAGACAGCCAGGAUGUUGGCUUAGAAGCAGCCAUCAUUUAAAGAAAGCGUAAUAGCUCACUGGUCGAGUCGGCCUGCGCGGAAGAUGUAACGGGGCUAAACCAUGCACCGAAGCUGCGGCAGCGACACUAUGUGUUGUUGGGUAGGGGAGCGUUCUGUAAGCCUGUGAAGGUGUGCUGUGAGGCAUGCUGGAGGUAUCAGAAGUGCGAAUGCUGACAUAAGUAACGAUAAAGCGGGUGAAAAGCCCGCUCGCCGGAAGACCAAGGGUUCCUGUCCAACGUUAAUCGGGGCAGGGUGAGUCGACCCCUAAGGCGAGGCCGAAAGGCGUAGUCGAUGGGAAACAGGUUAAUAUUCCUGUACUUGGUGUUACUGCGAAGGGGGGACGGAGAAGGCUAUGUCGGCCGGGCGACGGUUGUCCCGGUUUAAGCGUGUAGGCUGACUUUCCAGGCAAAUCCGGAAAGUUAAGGCUGAGGCGUGAUGACGAGGCACCACGGUGCUGAAGUGACAAAUGCCCUGCUUCCAGGAAAAGCCUCUAAGCAUCAGGUAACAUCAAAUCGUACCCCAAACCGACACAGGUGGUCAGGUAGAGAAUACCAAGGCGCUUGAGAGAACUCGGGUGAAGGAACUAGGCAAAAUGGUGCCGUAACUUCGGGAGAAGGCACGCUGACAUGUAGGUGAAGCCCCUGCGGGUGGAGCUGAAGUCAGUCGAAGAUACCAGCUGGCUGCAACUGUUUAUUAAAAACACAGCACUGUGCAAACACGAAAGUGGACGUAUACGGUGUGACGCCUGCCCGGUGCCGGAAGGUUAAUUGAUGGGGUUAUCGCAAGAGAAGCUCCUGAUCGAAGCCCCGGUAAACGGCGGCCGUAACUAUAACGGUCCUAAGGUAGCGAAAUUCCUUGUCGGGUAAGUUCCGACCUGCACGAAUGGCGUAAUGAUGGCCAGGCUGUCUCCACCCGAGACUCAGUGAAAUUGAACUCGCUGUGAAGAUGCAGUGUACCCGCGGCAAGACGGAAAGACCCCGUGAACCUUUACUACAGCUUGACACUGAACAUUGAGCCUUGAUGUGUAGGAUAGGUGGGAGGCUUUGAAGCGUGGACGCCAGUCUGCGUGGAGCCGACCUUGAAAUACCACCCUUUAAUGUUUGAUGUUCUAACCUGGCGCCGUGAUCCGGCGUGGGGACAGUGUCUGGUGGGUAGUUUGACUGGGGCGGUCUCCUCCCAAAGUGUAACGGAGGAGCACGAAGGUCAGCUAAUCCUGGUCGGACAUCAGGAGGUUAGUGCAAUGGCAUAAGCUGGCUUGACUGCGAGAGUGACGGCUCGAGCAGGUGCGAAAGCAGGUCAUAGUGAUCCGGUGGUUCUGUAUGGAAGGGCCAUCGCUCAACGGAUAAAAGGUACUCCGGGGAUAACAGGCUGAUACCGCCCAAGAGUUCAUAUCGACGGCGGUGUUUGGCACCUCGAUGUCGGCUCAUCACAUCCUGGGGCUGAAGUAGGUCCCAAGGGUAUGGCUGUUCGCCAUUUAAAGUGGUACGCGAGCUGGGUUUAGAACGUCGUGAGACAGUUCGGUCCCUAUCUGCCGUGGGCGCUGGAGAAUUGAGGGGGGCUGCUCCCAGUACGAGAGGACCGGAGUGGACGCAUCACUGGUGUUCGGGUUGUCAUGCCAAUGGCACUGCCCGGUAGCUAAAUGCGGAAGAGAUAAGUGCUGAAAGCAUCUAAGCACGAAACUUGCCCCGAGAUGAGUUCUCCCUGAGACUUUAAGUCUCCUGAAGGAACGUUGAAGACGACGACGUUGAUAGGCCGGGUGUGUAAGCGCAGCGAUGCGUUGAGCUAACCGGUACUAAUGAACCGUGAGGCUUAACCUUACAACGCCAAAGAAGU
rnacentral:rRNA from 1 species